ensembl:snoRNA
GCAGACUCACUCAGCAUCCAGCGGGUGCUUUUUCUGUCUGCCAGUGAGCAUUCCAGGGUGCUGUGACCAUUUUGGCCUCUCUAGGGUGAUGUAGCUGCCUGGGGACACAGAG